UUCUCAACACAUCUUAGAUACCAUCCCGUUUCAUCCAUGUCACCUAAAGCAGAUCAUAGAAUUGUAAUUAAUGAACCAGAUUCACCACUGAUAUUGGUCACGUGUACACUUGAAUGUCACGUGUGAAGGGUGCAUAUGGAUGGACGGGCGUGGAUAAAACACAUGCAUCAAUGUAGUGCCAAUAGAUGAUUUUAAUCAAGUGUGCCUGAAUUUAGGCCUUCAAGCACUUCACCCUUUUGAUGCCACUUGUGCUAUGAGUAGACCAUAUAGAGGAUUUGUUUUUAUUUAUUUAUUUAUUUGAGACCAUUUUUAAUUUAUUGUAAUAAAUAUUAUAUUUUUUUUAUUACGAAGUAAUAUAAAUUUUAUUUAAUAUGCAGUUUCAAUUGUAUUGCA